GUGGAGGUGGUGCAGUGGUUAGCACUGCUGCUUCACAGCAAGUAGGUCAUGGGUUCAAAGCCAGCCUUUUGCC